rnacentral:lncRNA from 1 species
UGAAUGCCUUGCUUCUUGGUGCAGCCAACACCACUUGAAAAACAAGACACCCAUAUGCAUGAAAACGGCGGUCGUCGCGCGCGCGCGGCCGUGGAUGCGGAUGCUUGAUGUGUGUCGUUCCGGGACGCAACCCGGCCGGACUUUUCGGGGCUCAGUUGCUUUCGGAGCACGAGUCGCCGUCGUCGUCGCGCUCCAGCUGCAGGCAGAGUGACCAUGCAUGUGCAGCCACGCUAUCCUGCCCAGACCCAUUCGAUUCGUCUUUUGCGUCCAAGGAGGGGCGUAGGGUCGCACGGAUCCGCCGAGGGAUCGCGUAGGGACUGCGCUUUUAAUUAAAAUUUUAAUUUAUUUUAUUUUGUUUUGUUUUGUUUUAUUUUAUUUUAUUUAAUUUUAUUUUAUUAUCAUCCGCAGAAACCAAUCGACCAAAGUCAUGCGCGCGCAAUCAGCAACUACGGUUGUUGUUGUUUGUUAAAUCAUGAGCGUCGUCGGCCUCAUCAAGAGACUAGUGUUUCCUAACAACAAAAUCAGCUUCGUCCCUGAGAUGAAAUCUCUUGAGUCUAAUUAAUUCAGUAGCGUUCUAGUUACUAUAUACUACCUGAUGAUAAUUGCCAUCUAGGACAUGAGUGACAUGGUCACACUCACACCAGCCCAAGACAUUAGUUUGGACGUUGGAUGAUUUAUAACACGAAAAAUUAUAACAAAAAUGUAUAGCAAAAAUAAUAUACAUACUAUCUUCUGAAUACAAACUUACCCUUUCGAAGAUUAUAUUUAAGAUACGAUGUAAGGUUGCAUUGAAGGUAGUAGAACAUGUUGACUACAACACAUGUAGAAAACGCAAAAAGGUGGUGGUUAUUUGUGAAAACUCCUGUGUGUUCGUCGGCAUUUUUUAUCCCCUGCAUUUUGUUGCGAUUGUUCAAACAGGCAUUGAGCUAGGAGUGCACUGCUGUAUCGUGUAGCACCUAGAGGUGGUUACUUGGACAAAAAAAUCUGGAGGACAAUGGCUGGGAGGGGAAAAGCAAGGAGGACAAAUUAAAGUAGCUAGAUCUCGGCUCCCCCAUCAUCUUUCUUUUCCAACUUUUUGGUGUACUAGCUAAGUGUAAACGAUAUACAUAUCCGUGCGAUUGUGCAUUGCAUGGGUUGAUGCUUGAUGGGGACGCACGCGGCCAAAAGCGUCUAGCUUGCUAGCUAGCUCCCUGCUCCCCUGUUCCUCCACUUUGCACGGUGGUGGAAUGGAAUGUGAGACGGAGCUUUUUCCUGCUGUGAUGGUACUGCAACGGCCACUCCGGCUCCAUGCGAAAAGUGCCGCGAUCGGCUGGUGUCAGUUGGGCACAUUAUAGAAUCACCAACCUGUCUGUCGUCUCUAAAGCCACAGCAACUUGGAUGUUUACUACUCCUAACAACGGACCACUAUCACCAUUGCU